rnacentral:rRNA from 1 species
GAUGAACGCUGGCGGCGUGCCUAAUACAUGCAAGUCGAGCGAACAGACGAGGAGCUUGCUCCUCUGACGUUAGCGGCGGACGGGUGAGUAACACGUGGAUAACCUACCUAUAAGACUGGGAUAACUUCGGGAAACCGGAGCUAAUACCGGAUAAUAUAUUGAACCGCAUGGUUCAAUAGUGAAAGACGGUUUUGCUGUCACUUAUAGAUGGAUCCGCGCCGCAUUAGCUAGUUGGUAAGGUAACGGCUUACCAAGGCAACGAUGCGUAGCCGACCUGAGAGGGUGAUCGGCCACACUGGAACUGAGACACGGUCCAGACUCCUACGGGAGGCAGCAGUAGGGAAUCUUCCGCAAUGGGCGAAAGCUUGGCGGAGCAACGCCGCGUGAGUGAUGAAGGUCUUCGGAUCGUAAAACUCUGUUAUUAGGGAAGAACAAAUGUGUAAGUAACUAUGCACGUCUUGACGGUACCUAAUCAGAAAGCCACGGCUAACUACGUG